rnacentral:miRNA from 1 species
CAGUCAAUAUUGGCUGAUGGCA